UACGAGGGGUGCAAACGUUAUUCGGAAUCACUGGGCUUAAAGGGUGCGUAGGCGGCGCGGAAAGUUGGGUGUGAAAUCCCUCGGCUCAACCGAGGAACUGCGUCCAAAACUGCCGUGCUCGAGGGAGACAGAGGUGAGCGGAACUUAGGGUGGAGCGGUGAAAUGCGUUGAUAUCCUAAGGAACACCGGUGGCGAAAGCGGCUCACUGGGUCUCUUCUGACGCUGAGGCACGAAAGCUAGGGUAGCGAACGGG
rnacentral:rRNA from 1 species